AAUGAACGCUGGCGGUAUGCCUAACACAUGCAAGUCGAACGGCAGCACAGUGAGCUCUUGCUCUUGCGGGUGGCGAGUGGCGGACGGGUGACGAAUGCAUCGGAUUCCUCUUUUUCGUGGGUGAUAACGUAGGAAAACUUCUGCUAAUACCGCAUACGUCCUACGGGUGGGAGCAGGGGUUCUUCGGGCUUUUGGCGAUUGUAAGAGCCGAGGUCGGAUUAGCUAGUUGGCGGGGUAAAGGCCCACCAAGGCGACGAUGCGUAGCUGGUCUGAGAGGAUGAUCAGCCACACUGGAACUGAGACACGGUCCAGACUCCUACGGGAGGCAGCAGUGGGGAAUAUUGGGCAAUGGGCGAAAGCCUGAUCCAGCAAUACCGCGUGAGUGAAGAAGGCCUUCGGGUUGUAAAGCCCUGUUGUUGGGAAAGAAAAGAAGCAGGUUAAAACCCCGCUGUUCUGACGGUACCCAAAGAAUAAGCACCGGCUAACUUCGUG
rnacentral:rRNA from 1 species